AGUGAACGCUGGCGGUAGGCCUAACACAUGCAAGUCGAACGGCAGCACAGUAAGAGCUUGCUCUUACGGGUGGCGAGUGGCGGACGAGUGAGGAAUACAUCGGAAUCUACUUUUUCGUGGGGGAUAACGUAGGGAAACUUACGCUAAUACCGCAUACGACCUACGGGUGAAAGCAGGGGAUCUUCGGACCUUGCGCGAUUGAAUGAGCCGAUGUCGGAUUAGCUAGUUGGCGGGGUAAAGGCCCACCAAGGCGACGAUCCGUAGCUGGUCUGAGAGGAUGAUCAGCCACACUGGAAUUGAGACACGGUCCAGACUCCUACGGGAGGCAGCAGUGGGGAAUAUUGGACAAUGGGCGCAAGCCUGAUCCAGCCAUACCGAGUGGGUGAAGAAGGCCUUCGGGUUGUAAAGCCCUUUUGUUGGGAAAGAAAAGCAGCAGGUUAAUACCCCGCUGUUCUGACGGUACCCAAAGAAUAAGCACCGGCUAACUUCGUG
rnacentral:rRNA from 1 species